CGUGUAGGCGGUGCUUCAAGUUGGAUGUGAAAUCUCCUGGCCUAACUGGGAGGGGCCAUUCAAAACUGGGGCACUUGAGGGCAGAAGAGGGAAGUGGAAUUCCCGGUGUAGCGGUGGAAUGCGUAGAUAUCGGGAGGAACACCUGUGGCGAAAGCGGCUUCCUGGGCUGCCCCUGACGCUGAUACGCGAAAGCUAGGGGAGCGAACG
rnacentral:rRNA from 1 species